rnacentral:rRNA from 1 species
AUGUCGGCGAUCAACAACGCCACAAUCAUUCUCCUGCCAAAAAAGGAUGGGACAACAGAGAUCUCCCACUUCAGGCCAAUCAGUUUGAUCCAUUCGGUAACCAAGCUCAUCUUCAAGGUUCUCUCCAUUAGAUUGGCGUCAGUCAUUGGCUCCAUCAUCUCACCGGCGCAGACGGCAUUCCUGAAGUCGAAGUGCAUCCAUGACAGCUUUCUCUUCGUGCAAAACUCCGUUCGUGCCCUUCACCACCGCAAAACAUCGGGGUUACUAGUAAAGCUAGACAUAGCAAAGGCGUUCGACACCAUCUCUUGGGAAUACCUGCUAGAGCUUCUACAAUAA